CCCACCCCGGGCGCGGCGUCGCCCCGAAGAAGCGCCGCUUCCUCUUCCUCGCUCCGCCGAUUUCGGGAUAUUCUCGGAGGCGCUCGCGCGCACGCUCGUGUUCACACACACACACACAUACACACACAGAGAGAGAGAGGGAGGGAGGGAAAGAGAGAACACACAAAUCUCUCUCAGCGCGCACAGGCCCCUCCUCUACUUCAUCACCAAAGCCCUCUUCCUUCGGAGAAAGCAGCAACAGCCGCCCCGGGGGUGGCGGGCGGAGACGGACUGAGCCGCCCUCCUCCUCCUCUUCUUCUUCUUCCCCCCUCCCCCUCCCCUCCCCUCCCUCCCCUCGCCUUGCCUUUCCCGGCACCGCCCCACCUCGCUAGCCUCUCACCCCGCGCCCAUCUGCCUCUCCGAGGGAUCCCAACCCGGACCUGCCGCCCCUCCUCUUCCAAGGAUCGCAGAUUGGGACCUGCCGCUCCCCCCCCCCUCGCUCCCUCCCUUUUCCCGCUGCCUGGCGAGAUCUCGUCCUCCUUCCGGCUGGGAUCCCUUCAUCACCUAGACGGCUGUCCCUCUUCCGUCGCUCCCGCAGCCUCCCGGGCGGCUCUUCCUAGCCUGGGCACUGCCCCCGGGAUGCCUCCGCUUUGGGGGAAACCUCGCUGAUCUGCAGCUCUGCCCAGCCGCCUCUGGGGACGCCGACCAGGCGCCUCCUGCUCGCCUGGAAGAUCCGGCACCUUGGACAGCGCCCCAGGGCUGAAAAUAUAAACCAAGACCUGGAUCUGGAAAGUCCCACCUGCGUGGCUGGGGAAGGAUGGUUCGAAGGAAAAAGAUGCCACUUCUCUUUGUGCUGAGUUUUCUGGUGAUAUCACAACCUGGCCAUGGAGCAGUCCAUCUGAACAUCACAGAAGGU